UGGGUGACCUGUGAGAGGAGAUGUCAUAAUCAAGAAUGUGGUUCACCCAAGGGGAGGCCCAGCCAUCAUACAUUGGUUAUCUGACCUCUAAAUCCCAUUAAUGUGGGAAUCUUGACUGCAUAAUUUCAU
rnacentral:snRNA from 1 species